UUAAUUAUACUAGUAGUGGGCAUUGCUCUUGCUUAGUUGGUCAGAUCUGAAAAGAAGCAGCCAGAGUAAGAUUCUGUGGGUCAUUACUAGUAUCGUUGCUUAA
rnacentral:SRP_RNA from 1 species